rnacentral:rRNA from 1 species
UGGGGAAUAUUGCGCAAUGGGGGCAACCCUGACGCAGCAACGCCGCGUGAAGGAUGAAGGUCUUCGGAUUGUAAACUUUUGUCUUUGGUGAAGAUAGUGACGGUAGCCAAGGAGGAAGCCACGGCUAACUACGUGCCAGCAGCCGCGGUAAUACGUAGGUGGCAAGCGUUGUCCGGAUUUACUGGGUGUAAAGGGCGUGUAGACGGGUGAGCAAGUCAGAUGUGAAAUACCGCAGCUUAACUGCGGGGCUGCAUUUGAAACUGCUUAUCUUGAGUGCGGGAGAGGAAAGCGGAAUUCCUAGUGUAGCGGUGAAAUGCGUAGAUAUUAGGAGGAACACCAGUGGCGAAGGCGGCUUUCUGGACCGUAACUGACGUUGAGGCGCGAAAGCGUGGGUAGCAAACAGGAUUAGAUACC